rnacentral:rRNA from 1 species
GACAGAGGGGGCAAGCGUUGCUCGGAAUCACUGGGCGUAAAGGGCGCGUAGGCGGGAUGGCAAGUCAGUCGUGAAAUCUCUCGGCUCAACCGAGAAACGUCGGCUGAUACUGCCGUUCUUGAGGGAUGCAGAGGAGACUGGAAUUCCCGGUGUAGCGGUGAAAUGUGUAGAGAUCGGGAGGAACACCAGUGGCGAAGGCGGCUCUCUGGACCGAAACUGACGCUGAGACGCGAAAGCGUGGGGAGCAAACAGG